GCGAGUUUUUGGCGAGUUGACGACACCCACAUGGCUCUGUAGAGCCAAAAUCCGACGAUAAGCGUCGGUCUACGGAACCGAAGGUCACAGGUUCGAAUCCUGUCGGGCGCG
rnacentral:tRNA from 1 species